rnacentral:rRNA from 1 species
UACGUAGGUGGCAAGCGUUAUCCGGAUUUACUGGGUGUAAAGGGCGUGUAGGCGGGAGAGCAAGUCAGACGUGAAAUUCCAGGGCUCAACCCUGGAACUGCGUUUGAAACUGUUCUUCUUGAGUGAUGGAGAGGCAGGCGGAAUUCCGUGUGUAGCGGUGAAAUGCGUAGAUAUACGGAGGAACUCCAGUGGCGAAGGCGGCCUGCUGGACAUUAACUGACGCUGAGGCGCGAAAGCGUGGGGAGCAAACAGG